GGAUCCUCUGGGACUACAGUCUGUUGAGAAGGGAGCUAGAGGAGAGCAUGCCCAGCGGGACAGGAGGAAAUCAUAAAAACGUUAUCAAAUUUAAACAUCAUCAGGAUGUUCACAUGAUGGAACUGUUUUGUUCUGAGAAGUGGGCUGGGACUUAGAUCAGCGGUCAUCAGGGAAGCCUCCUCUUUCGGUAAAUGGGAACUAACACAGAGACCCACAGCUGGACAAUGUGCAGAGAGAGAGACUUUGGAGCACUCAGUCCUGAACAGGAUGUCUUCG